rnacentral:rRNA from 1 species
UACGGAGGGAGCUAGCGUUGUUCGGAUAUACUGGGCGUAAAGCGCACGUAGGCGGCGCCGUAAGUCAGGGGUGAAAUCCCGGAGCUCAACUCCGGAACUGCCCUUGAAACUGCAGUGCUAGAAUCUUGGAGAGGCGAGUGGAAUUCCGAGUGUAGAGGUGAAAUUCGUAGAUAUUCGGAAGAACACCAGUGGGGAAGGCGACUCGCUGGACAAGUAUUGACGCUGAGGUGCGAAAGCGUGGGGAGCAAACAGG